rnacentral:rRNA from 1 species
CUUGAGUGCAACAGAGGUAGGCGGAAUUCGUGGUGUAGCGGUGAAAUGCUUUAGAUAUCAUGAAGAACUCCGAUUGCGAAGGCAGCUUACUGGAUUGUAACUGACGCUGAUGCUCGAAAGUGUGGGUAUCAAACAGGAUUAGAUACCGUGGUAGUCCACACAGUAAACGAUGAAUACUCGCUGUUGGCGAUAUACAGUCAGCGGUCAAGCGAAAGCAUUAAGUAUUCCACUUGGGGAGUACGCCGGCAACGGUGAAACUCAAAGGAAUUGACGGGGGCCCGCACAAGCGGAGGAACAUGUGGUUUAAUUCGAUGAUACGCGAGGAACCUUACCCGGGCUUAAAUUGCAACUGACGGAAUCGGAAACGGUUCUUUCUUCGGACAGUUGUGAAGGUGCUGCAUGGCUGUCGUCAGCUCGUGCCGUGAGGUGUCGGCUUAAGUGCCAUAACGAGCGCAACCCUUACGGGUAGUUUCCAUCAGGUUAUGCUGGGGACUCUACCCGGACUGCCGUCGUAAGAUGUGAGGAAGGUGGGGAUGACGUCAAAUCAGCACGGCCCUUACGUCCGGGGCUACACACGUGUUACAAUGGGGGGUACAGAAGGCAGCUACACGGCGACGUGGUGCUAAUCCCGAAAGCCUCUCUCAGUUCGGAUUGGAGUCUGCAACCCGACUCCAUGAAGCUGGAUUCGCUAGUAAUCGCGCAUCAGCCACGGCGCGGUGAAUACGUUCCCGGGCCUUGUACACACCGCCCGUCAAGCCAUGAAAGCCGGGGGUACCUGAAGUACGUAACCGCGAGGAGCGUCCUAGGGUAA